CUCUCGGGGGUGGGGUGUUGCCCCCAGCUUGCUUUUAAAUAAAACACAGCGGGCCUGCUGGGGAAGCCCCCCUCCUCCUUUGUCUUCUUGGAACUGCAGCCCCCAAGGGACAAGUAAAAUGAUCAUUCCAUAGUGGACCUCCGGCUCCAGCCCUCAUUCUUGCUUUAAACACACACACGCCGGAGACUAUGUUCACGGGAGUGUAACAAUGGCCAGAGACAUACUUUUGUGGGCAGAUUUCAAUAUGCGUUUCCAAGCAAGCGAUUUGUGGGUGACUUGUCAUUAAAUGGCAGACCUUCUCAUCUCACCACCCACGUUAGGCUCUGAAAAUGGUGUUUCUCUGCGGGCAUCUCCGUUAUUUGAAGAGUUGCCCCAACGGCUGGGAAAGGAAACUUUAUUGAUGAGUUAAAAUAUUUACACACUUCGGAGAACAGUUCUGUCCUUGUGGCAUCGAGGCUUUACUUAAUGACAGAAAAAUUUCAUACCUUUAUUGUAGCACAUCACCAAGACCAACAAGAGCAGAAUGGAUUCGACACUCAUGGGAGGUGUCUUCACUGUCGAGACUCCUCGUAGACACUGUGUGUACACUCCACUGAGUCCAGUUCCCUGGGAUGUGCUCUGGGCCCAUUCUGAUGGCUCUCGCUUACGGAACAGUCUCACCAUGUAGCCCUGAUUGUCCUGGCACUCAGUAUGAACAUCAGGCUGACCCUGAACUCACAGAGGUCUGUCUAUCCCUGCCAGGAUUAAAGGUGUGCAUCACUAUGUGUGGUCUGAAUUAACUCUUAAAAGGUGGAGACAACACUGUACAUAAUGUUUCUGGCUCGAGGUAGGAGUAGAACUUACAUUGCAUUCUUUUGUCCUGGAGGAACUAGCUUCACUUUAAUGGGCCUCAACAAAACACAGACACCUCCACCUUUUCAUAUGGUCUUUUAAAUUCUGAGGUGAGGCAGAGCUGUCACCAGGGAAAUGGAGAGGGCCUCCAGAGCUACACUACUGCAGUAGCCUACAACUCUAAAGAGCAGCCAUAAAAUCUAAAGAUUUGGUACUAUGUGAGCAUAAAAGUGCAAGUACAUAUACAUAAUGUUGUUAGACCCCCCAGAAAACUCAGACCUCUGGGGUCUCAGCCCAGGACCACGGUCA